UGUGUGAUACACACAGACACACACACAAACAUAUAUUUUUAAUACAAGAACAUUUUAGAGAAGGAAAAGUUUGGCUCACAGUUUCAGCGGUUGACUUCGUGGUGGGCAGAUUCCAUUGCUCUGAGCCCACUGCUAAGCAGAACAUCAUAGCUGAAGGAUGUGGCAACCAGGAAGCAGAGAGGAAUAAAAAGGGAGUGUAAGAGGAGCCAGAGACAAAAUAUAUAAUCCCCAAGGCAUGUCUCCACUUCAGUGGGUCCACUUCUUCCAGCCACACACCACCUGCCUACAGUUACUACACAGAAAUCUGUGCAAAUUAACAAUCCGUCUAAUGGAUUAAUCCUCUGAUCAGGUUAUGGCUAUUAUGAUCUAAUCAUUUCACCCCUGCAUUAACACAGGAACCUCUGGGGGAUGCCUUUACCUUAUAUCCAAACCAUAACAAUAGUAUAUAUACUUCAAGCUCUUUGUUUUUCAGGAGUGGAGACUCUUUCUGAUUAAUGGUAUGCUUUUGCAAGAUGACCAGAUCUCAUGGAGGUCAAAUCUUCUCCAUCUGCCUAAUGUGACCUGGGAGGCUACAGAACAAAGCAGAAACUCCUUGGUGUGGCCUCGAAGACCUCCAUGAGGGCCCCAGUAUGAAGAUUUUGCUUCACCAAGAAUUAAUAAGAUUAAUUAAAUAAUUAAUAAUAAAUAAAAACAGUUUUGGAUUUUGA